rnacentral:rRNA from 1 species
UACCCGCUGAACUUAAGCAUAUCAAUAAGCGGAGGAAAAGAAACCAACAGGGAUUACCUUAGUAACGGCGAGUGAAGCGGUAAAAGCUCAAAUUUGAAAUCUUCGGAAUUGUAAUUUGAUGGAUAAAAUUGCUUUGAACAGAAGUCCAUUGGAAGAUGGCGCCAUAGAGGGUGAUAGCCCCGUUAUGUUCUCUUGCACUAUAAUUUUAUUCCAAAGAGUCGGGUUGUUUGGGAAUGCAGCUCAAAGUGGGUGGUAAAUUCCAUCUAAAGCUAAAUAUUGACGAGAGACCGAUAGCGAACAAGUACAGUGAUGGAAAGAUGAAAAGAACUUUGAAAAGAGAGUGAAAUAGUACGUGAAAUUGUUGAAAGGGAAGGGGAGGGAAGAUGUUAAAGGGACUCCUUGCUUGCAGGGAUCCCCCCAAGAGUCUUUCCUCUCGCCCGUCUUGAAA